ensembl:misc_RNA Metazoa_SRP Metazoan signal recognition particle RNA
GCCAGGUGUGGUGGCGCACACCUGUAAUCCCAGCUACUUGGGAGGCUGAGGCAGGAGAAUCGCUUGAACCCGGGAGGCAGAGGUUGCAGUGAGCCAAGAUCGUGCCACUGCACUCCAGCCUGGGCAACAGAGCAAGACUCCGUCUCAA